CAUUACUAAAAGCUGUCAAGAUUACCCGAGAGAAGCCCUUUACAUGGCCCAAUGUUGCAAAACUUAAGGAUGCAGCCAGGGGCCCGCUGAGCCUGAGCGGCCGGCUUACAUAGCUUACAGGGACAUGGGAUCAACCUCAGCUAUCUGUUUCCGGUCUAUCACAACCUUACCUCUUAGCACCAAUCACAGCCAUCCAGGUUUGUGUUUUGCAUCAGUCAUUGCUUGCCUCUUUACUAACAAUCCCAGCAAUCCCCUCACUAGGCCACCAGGGGAGGUACUCCCUGUCUGAACUAGG
rnacentral:lncRNA from 1 species